CUAAUUAAGGAAAUGGAACGCGCAGGUUCGCCCCCAGGUCCCACACAGGCGAUAAAGGCUGGGCAACCCCGAGUGAAGAGCAUCAGCCCCAUCGCACCUGCCUUCAAAGGGACUGUCUGGAGGUCGACUGGAGGGAUGCGGAGUGAGGAGACGCACACCUGGGGCUGAGCGUUUUAAGCCGAUGUUUUUGGAAUCAAGACUUGGAAAAAUAAAGUGCAGCUUCAAAAAAGAGAAACAUGGAAAUCUGCAAGCGACGCUUUCUUGGAAUAUCGGUUGCUAUAGCUCACGGAUUUUUUUCCGGCUCUUUAAACAUUUUACUGAAAUUUCUUAUUACGAACUACGAAUUUCACUACCUCACUCUGAUCCAGUGCCUGACCAGCGUCCUGGCAGCACUCACCUUAGAGAUCCUGCGACGCCUGGGAAAGGUGGACGUGCCGCCCUACAGCCUGCAGCUCGCCAAAGUUUUCGCAGGUGUCACCAUCCUAUCUACUCUGCAGUCCAGCCUCACCCUCUGGUCCUUGAGAGGCCUCAGUCUGCCUAUGUAUGUGAUCUUCAAGCGGUGCCUGCCUCUGGCCACCCUCAUCAUCGGAGUCUGCUUGCUAAAGAACGGCAUCCCGUCCGUCGGUGUCAUUAGCGCAGUCCUCAUCACCACAGUGGGAGCGGCGCUGGCAGGAGCUGGAGAUCUAACUGGAGAUCCCGUUGGUUACGUGACUGGAAUUCUAGCCGUCAUAAUUCAUGCAACGUAUCUGGUAAUUAUUCAAAAGGCAAGCACCGACAACGACUACGGGCCACUGACCGCACAGUACGCCAUUGCCUUUACGGCCUCUCCGUUUCUCAUCAUCUGCUCAUUUGCUAGCAUGGACUCCAUCAAUGUCUGGUCAUAUCCCCAGUGGUCCAGCCCCUUUGUGUCAUGCACGUUCAUAGCGUGUAUCUUAUUUGGCUGUGCCAUGAACUUUACCACACUCCACUGCACCUACAUCAACUCCGCAGUCACCACCAGCUUUGUUGGUGUGGUCAAAAGCAUCGCCACCAUCACCGUAGGGAUGCUAGCAUUCAACGAUGUGAAGCCCACGGCGCUGUUUAUAGCUGGCGUUGUGGUGAACACUGUGGGCUCUAUCAUUUACUGCAUUGUCAAAUAUUUUGAAACUAAAAAAAAAAGCAAGUACCAGGACCUGGAAGAAGAUGCCAAAAAGGACGACUUACCUGGUGAACCAUACAAAAUGGACAAUGGUAAUGAUGGUGAACUCACAGAGAUGACAUCCAAUGGAACUCUGCAUGAGUCUUCAAACACCAAUGGCUAUGUGCACACUCCUGCAAUGAAUGGAACUGUGGGAACCAUGGAAGUCCAAACGCAAGAGAGUGAAACUGGAGGAGAUGGCAGGAAAUCUGUGAGUGAUGCCUACAUUGGAGUUUGGCGGUCAAUUCGAAAUUUCAAGUUCAUGAAAAAAGAUCCUUUAAUAGAAAACGAGGUUCUACCAAGUCCGUGAUGUGAGGAAUGCAGAAACAUAAAUGAAAAGCAUGCUGUUGUUAGGAAUGACUCUACUGAUACAUCAACUAGCUCAUUGUCCACCGCUCAAGACAUCUUUUGUAUUGUAUUGUUAUUUCUCAGUAGCAGAAUGUGAAUUGAAAAGGUACGAUCUUUAUUCUAAUGAUCAACUGUUGCUUCUGAUGAUUGUGCACAAAUUCUAAAUCUAUCACCUUCAUUUAGAUGAAAUAACAUCGGCCAGUUUGCUAUUUAAAGUAACACGCUUACUAUAGGAAAAAGGGCUCUAAGGAGACAAGCUCUAUGUCACUUGACAGAAAGGUGAUUGCCAUCAAAUCCUAAGAGUAACACAACUGGAAGCUCAUGGAGUUUAUUGAUGUUUUCAAAUUAAAGUAUCUGAGAUAGACAUACAAACAUGAGCUUAGCAGAGAUCAGUACUGUUCCCAGCCCUAGUGAUGUGGAUUCUACUCCCUCGAUAUUUUCAGUUAAUUAGUGACUCUAAAUUAGCCCUCUGCGUGCAUGACUGAGGCUUGAACUGGUUCUUCCUUUAUGGCCAGUGUAGCUGGUACAGACUCAGGUCCACUUCAACCCUGAAUUAAAUUAAGUCCGAUAGAGUGUAUUAUUUAUGCUAUGUUAAAUGUUAUGUCAAAUGUUUUACAUUAUUUUUCUAUCUGUCUAUACUUGAAAUAUAUGAUUUACACAUUUAACUUUUAAAAUAUACUAAACUGUCAGGAUCUACGAGUUACUUUUUAAUACUCUUGCUGUAAUUUUUUGCCAGCCCAUUGUGUACUUUUGUUGAUAUUGUUGUCAGUGACAUUGAAUGCAUGGUGGAUUGCACAUUGUUACACUGGCAUGUGAUAAUGUAAGCACUAUUUUGUGUCAAGUCAACAUUUUAUUUAAUGCAAGAGGAAACUGUCUAAUACAAAUUAGGUUUAUGAACAAAAACAAGAAAACAUAUAGUUAGGAAAUACAGAAGUUACAAACAAAACAUACGAUGAAACCUAGAAGGAAAAAAGACCUAUAAAACAAAAAUGUUAAUUUUCUUCUGAUUGUUUUGUUUUUUUGAGAAAAAAUUCUGAAAACAUUUAAGGUUAGGCCAUUUAUCAUCUAAAUUAGGGUUCCAAAGAACCACAAGUUUUAUCUUUUUGACAUGUCCACGACCUUGAUCUUGAUUCCAUUCUAUUAAAACAUUUUAAUUUACAUUAAAAUGUCUGGUUUUUGCCUUGCUUUGAAUUUUUGACUAGUAAAAGUUUUGGUUAGAGAGCUCAGUACUUAAAUUCUGCCACUCAGAUGUUUUAAUAGGUAAUGCACCUAGUGACCAGAAAAGUGGCCUCAACAAAGCAUAUUGAUUCUCUUAGGUCUAACCUAAGAGAAACCGUGACACACUGGUUAGAGCACUGUUGACUCACAACUCCAGGGAUAUGGGUUCACCUUUGACCUUACCAUUUUCUUUUUUGGGUUGUGUGUGGUUGUUGUUUGGUUAAGUAAAGUAAAAGUAAAUAUAAGAGCUGAAUUUUCCAAAUGCUCACAUUUUUUCAAAUUAUUUUUGCUGUGUCCAGUGAGACACACAUUGGAAAACUGUGUAUAAGAACAAGUUACACUCCUUCUUCUGAAUCAUUGUAGUAGGCUUUCCAUAAGUCCAUGUACUACAUCUGCUUACUCCAAUUUUGUGCAUGUAGAAUGUUUCAUUUUUAAAUAUAAUUUUUCCAUACCCCCGUCCAUGGUGGUAUUAAAGUUAUAGCUACUUGAACUUUUUUGUAGUUUUUUUAAAUGUCCUUUCUCUAGCGCAUCCUGCUUUUCAAAUGGUUUAAGGUCCUUAUUUUAUUUACAUUGUCAAUUCAGUAUCUUCUCUUCAUUUUCAGAAUACAUGUUACCAGGUUACAUGUGGUACCUUAAUUCAACAUACAGUAUCAUGGGUUGCAACCAGCAACACAGUUUAAACAUAAAGACGCAUGCUAUUUAUGUACACCCACAAAUUGCAUACAUUAACCAGGUAUUUUCAAAUUACUUUUUUCUUCUCUGCACAUACCAGAAAUCCCAGUAUAGAAACCUUUAGGUAUCAUACUUAUCUUUGUAAUUGUAGAACAGUUUUGUAGAUUUUACUUAUUUUAAUUUUAUAAUGAAAGUUUUGGUGAAUUAUAUUGGAAUUCCUUUAUAUCAAAAAAUAACUGUUGAAUUUAUGUUUAUGUAUGCUUGCCUUAUCUGAAGAAUCUAUAAUAAAAUGGGAAAUUAAUGUUAUUAAAGCUGAUUUAUGGUGAUAUCCAGCCAACAUUUUGGACUGGUUACUGUAAAUAAAUUAGAUUCAAUGUGUUUGCUUGGGUCUAGUAAUGUUUUAAUUCCUCUGAUGUUGAACAUGAUAUCAGUACAGUGGCAAUAUAAAAUACAGUAUAUUCAUUUUAUCUGUUGUUUGUACAGCACUAAUAUUAUUUAACAUUUUAUAUGUAGCUGAUAAGGCUUCGGUGUUGAGUUCCUUUGGCAAGGACAACAGAACAAAUGGAAACCUUUUGCAGUACACUGUGAUUUUUGUAUUUUUAUAUUUGUACAAGAGUUUUGGACACUAUGUUGAUAUAAAACAAUAUGUACCAUCAUGAAAUCCACUCAGAGUCUGAAAAAUAUCCUCUUUAUGGACCCCCCACCUCCUUGACCUUGUAUUUGGUUCAAAAUGGCUCAGUAGACAUUGGUCAUGUUAAGUAUUGCUGCUUUCACUGUGCAACAAAAACUAUAAUGCCUUAAAUAUGAAGCACUAAGUGGAUUUCCAUAUUCUUGAUCAUGUAUGUUGAUAUUAGUAAUCAUAGUCCCUUGUCAAGCAUACGGAGGAUCUUACAUGUACUAUAUUUACCACCCUUCACUCCCCUGUUACUACUAUAUUCAUGUGCCUUGUUCCUUUUAGUAAAAUUUCUUAGUGUUGUCUGUUUCCAUGGUUUGGAACUUUGCUGCAGUCCUGAUUUGCUUCACAGACUAACUGAUAUUUCUUUUCCCCCCUCUUGUUUCUGUGCACUUUUUUCAUUAUUUUUCACAUACAUUUUUAUUUACUUUGCAACUUCUCUGGCAUGGGUGGGAAAAAUAUUUGGU